GGAAGGGACAGCUCAGUGGAAAAGCCUGUGCCUAGCAAGCACGAGGCCCUGGGUUCAAUCCUCAGCAUCUCCA
rnacentral:tRNA from 1 species